AGGCGAGCGCGCUUAGCCUCCCGGCUGCCCCUCCCCCCCACGCGGCGGGUAAGCGAGUGCAGCCGUGCUGCGGCCGUGUUCCCGGGACUGGGCGGGUGAGUGGCACCCGUGUCCCGUAUCAGCCUCGCUACCUCCCCGCUGCCCACGCAGGGCUCUACGCUGAACUUUCGAGCCGCUGGAGGAAGGACUGGUGCUUGCCCCCUCGGCAGCCGCCCCGACCUGGUUUGCGUUUUCCUUGCCGUAGGUAGGCGGCCUCUCCCAGGAUGGCGGCGUCGGAGGGUCGAAACACCCAGGUUCGAGGAUCCGUGCCUGGGUGUGGAAGUCUCUUCCCUGUGCAUGUUUGCAGCUGGGGCAAGGGUCCACGCUCUGCAGUGGCUGCAGGGCUUGGGUAGCCUUCCAGAAAACGAGAGUCCAGAUUCCCAACCUUGGAGAGCAUUCUGGGACAAAAGAAGUGGGAAAUGGCAUGAUUGUCACGCAUGACCUUAUACUACUCCUAGAAGGAAAUGAUACACACAGUUUAACUGAUAUUUCAGAACAGUCUUUCGUAACAAAACCCCACUUCUGGGUCUGGGGUGUUGGGUGAGCAGUACCCUUAGCACUCCAGAAUGAGGAAGAAGACUCCCUGACUUUUUGUGAUGAGCUGCUGGAAGAGCAGUUCCACUGGGUUGAGAGAAAACAGCAGUGACUUUUCUGUGGAAAAUAUUAGCAAGAAAUAGUAGUUACACCUUUGGAAGACCCAUGCUACAUGACACUGCUGUGGAAGACUGCCCAUUGUGUUAGAGAAGUGAAGUUGGAGUGCAGCCAUUCCCUAUCCUGCAACUGAAAAUGUGUGCUCUUCAAUGAGAUACUAACAGAAAACUGCUAACUCAAUUCCCCUAACAAAGUUCUCAUCCUCACCUCCCAAGAAACAUCUCAUUAGGUAACCAUCAUGACCGGGGAUUCGGAUCAUUGGGAUCUCUUGAGUUUUGCACU
rnacentral:lncRNA from 1 species